UACAGAGGGUGCAAGCGUUGUUCGGAAUUACUGGGCGUAAAGGGCGCGUAGGCGGAUAGUUCAGUCGGGGGUGAAAGCCCGGGGCUCAACCUCGGAACUGCCUUCGAUACUGGCUAUCUUGAGUACGGGAGAGGUGUGUGGAACUCCGAGUGUAGAGGUGAAAUUCGUAGAUAUUCGGAAGAACACCAGUGGCGAAGGCGACACACUGGCCCGUUACUGACGCUGAGGCACGAAAGCGUGGGGAGCAAACAGG
rnacentral:rRNA from 1 species